rnacentral:rRNA from 1 species
AUGGAUUUUAGCCCUUCCAUUUUAUGUUGGAAUGUGAGAGGUUUGAACAGCGGUGCGAAGCGGGAUGCGACUCGAGAGUUUAUCACCAGUGUGCGUGUGAACAUUAUAUGUCUUCAAGAAACAAAACUGGAUGUAAUUGACCGCUUUACGGUAAUACAAUGCCUUGGGCCAUCCUUUGAUGGCUUCGCCUACUUGCUGGCUUUGGAGACUAGAGGAGGGAUCCUCGUGGCUUGGGACUCUUUAGCGAUCGAGAUCGACCAAUUUAGCCUGAACUCCGACUUCAUCACGGGUCAAGUGCACCCUAAGAAUGGAUCCGUUUGGUGGAUGUCGGUGGUUUAUGGCCCUCAAGGCAACCUGCUAAAAACUGCCUUUCUUGAGGAGCUACAAGCGAGGCACGCUCUCUGCCCGGGUCCAUGGAUGGUGCUUGGCGACUUCAACAUGAUUUUGCGUGCAUUGGAGAAGAGUAACACAAAUCUCAAUAAAACCAUGAUGGCUAGAUUCUGA